ensembl:lncRNA
UUUUUUUUUUUUUUUUUUUUUUUUUUUUUUAAUGUGGUAUGAACAGGAAGGUUUAAAGCUCAGUUUUUGCAAGAUGUUUCUUGAAGGAGCAGGUCUGUUUGGAAAUCCAGCAGAUGCCUGGAGAUAAUGGCUGUGAGAAGCCCUAAAUACCCAUCUACCUAUCAAGUGUGUAGACAAGCUCACCAAAUGAUAACAUCUUGUUACCUUACCAGGAAACAGGGAAGAAAUGAUCAGCAAGAUUAGACAAAAAAAAAAAACGGGCACUUAGCUAGAAUUUCUGAAAUCCCUUCCAGCUCUUAACUAAGAUAUUUUUCUUGUCACAGAAUAAACCAAGGACUUGUUAAAAAAACACAGUUUCCCAGGGUAGCGGAAAGGGAUGUAAGGCAGAAGAACUAAAAAAGCACCCCGGCAUGAUACAGGAAAAGCUCCAUUAAAAAUAAUGAAUCUAAAUUCACUGUCUCAGUGGCUGAAGAAACAAAGGAUGAGGUUGUCUGGCUCUGGACGUCGGAGCCUUAAUGUGCUGCUAAUAAUGUUUAUAUCAUAAAGCAGCGUCGCUGCGUUAGCUUUGAUUUAGCAACGCCAGUUUACAUCAGCUGAGGAAGCCAUCUGUAAAUUCAGCCCCACAAAUGUAAAUACAGUGAAGGCAGAAAGGCUUGGUCAUCCCUGGAGGACAUAAGAAGGGGUUGCUGGGCUGACCUGGGUACUCCGCGGUGCCCCUCCUGCUGUCACAGCUUUGUCACCUGUCUGAGGUGCAGAAGGAACAUGUGGCCUGUGUGGCUCAGCCUCUGGCUGUGCAGAGCCAUCCAUCCAGUCCUGGCAGCUCUGCUUGACUUCACUCCAGCUGUGCCCCCCUCCAGCUGCACAGGGGACAACCCUCAGAAACUCUUCAAAACUCCAAGUGCCAGUAGAAGAGAUUUUCAGAUAAAGCUAUAAAAGUGAUAUUAAAAGAUUGCUGGAACCAGACGGUUUCACUCAAGAGCUCUGAGGGAACUCAGAGUUGAAAUUGCUGACCUAUUCAGUACAAUACCACAGCAGCUGUUGAAAUGGCGAGGCACCACAGGAAUGGAAGGUGGCAAAUGUUACAUUAAUUCUUAAAAAGGGCCUUUAGAGGUCAUCCAGAAACCUGUGGGCUGGGAAGCUGGGCAAGGCAGAUUGACAGAAAGCAUAAUAAAAAGCAGGAUAGCUGAAAGUGUGAUAGAAUGGGAAAGAGCAAAGUUUGUUGAGUGAGAGCUCAGGCAUUGCAAAUCCAUUUGUGUCAAGACCCGGGUAAUUUGAUGUUUUUCUAAAAAAUCCAGCUGCAACAAGGUGGAGAAUAAUCUCAGAAAACUGAAUGGCAGGUUGAUGAAAUCACCUAUGAAAUUCACCGGCAGCAAAUAAAAAGUGAGGACUGUGAGAAAUACCAACACAAGCCGUACUAAGACCAUCAGGGGCACUAAAUUAAUAUCAGGCAGGAAGGAAACCUCCGUCAGUGAGUUUGCUGAAAAUUCCAGCUUACUCCUCAACAGAUGUUAGCAAUGCUGAAAAAGAGCCUUAAGAAUUACUACAGAAUUAAAAGAGAAUGAGAAUGCUCCUUCUAGGAAUGCUGCCUUAAACACAGGGUGUCCACCAAGGAGGAUAUAGAACAAUCCAUGAAGAUACAGAAGAGAUGAGAACUACAGUCGAGUCCUUCUUCUUGGCCACCUCAGCUGAGAAGGGAUGUGAGAGAGAUCCUGGCAACUCAACAUGGAAAUGUGAUCAGGAGACCAUCCAUUAUUUGUGGCUGUUGUCACAAGGGAAAGGCAGCACAACCCAAUCUAUUGGGAUGGAGUCUAACAUGAAGAAAAGGAAGCACUUCUUUCACACAAUGCAAAAUUGAAUUAUGGCACUUGUCACAGGAUGCUGUGAAGACCAGAAUUAUAAAAGAAUUCCAAAAGGGGUUAGCCAAUUUCUUGGAGGCUUGACCCAUCUGCAGCUGUUAAACACAAUGACCUAAAUGCCAGUCAAAAAUUCCCUUAACCACAGUCUGCUCUACUGAGCUGGUAAUAUCACAGAG